UACAGAGGUGGCAAGCGUUGCUCGGUAUCACUGGGCUUAAAGCGCGCGUAGACGGUUUUGUAAGUCAGAUGUGAAAUCCCUGGGCCCAACCUGGGAACUGCAUUUGAAACUGCAUGGCUAGAGUAUGGAAGAGGGAAGUGGAAUUUCCGGUGUAGCGGUGAAAUGCGUAGAUAUCGGAAGGAACACCAGUGGCGAAAGCGACUUCCUGGUCCAAUACUGACGUUCAUGUGCGAAAGCGUGGGGAGCAAACAGG
rnacentral:rRNA from 1 species